CAACAGCUGCUGGUACUUGUCUGUGAAUGGAAGCCAGGCCAGCUCUCUGCCAUGCCUGCAAUGACAAAGCGUUCUGGAACUCACACAGUUUUCAAAUCAGUAGGCUGUGUGCAGCGCUGAGGAGUUAUCGGCUUACAGAGAUAAAUAUUAACGAAGACCGGGAUAUUGCCUGCGGAGCAAAACCAACACCAACUGAAGCUCCAAGGGACAGCAGCUUGAGCUCCUGGUAUUUACCAGAGCACAGGAAGAACACACAGAGUGGUGAGAAUGUGGAACUCACGACCACAUGGAGUGGCUGAGGCAAAAAGCAUAGCAGUAUUUUAGGAGAAAGGAAAAGAAGAAUAGAGCAAUAUGUUGAUAUGGUGAGAUGAAGUAGGGCAUGAGGAAGUUCCUGUGGAGCUUAAACACAGGCAUAGAUCUGUCAGGCUGAAUGGCCUCUUUCUGUGUUAUUAAUACAAUAUACCAUGGCAGAAUCAAAGUGGCCUCUACAAUCUUGAAGAAAUUCUCCUACCUUCUGAGACACAUGGCAUAUAUUGAAUUGCAAAAAUACUCAGCAGAGACAUAGUGGGAAGAACAGCAUGAGAUAAGG